GCGGGCGUAGCUUAGCCUGGUUAAAGUGCCUGCCUGUCACGCAGGAGAUCGCCGGUUCAAAUCCGGUCGCCCGCG
rnacentral:tRNA from 2 species